rnacentral:rRNA from 1 species
UACGUAGGGGGCGAGCGUUGUCCGGAGUUACUGGGCGUAAAGCGCACGUAGGCGGCUUUGUAAGUUAGAGGUGAAAGCCCAGGGCUUAACCCUGGAAUUGCCUUUAAGACUGCAUCGCUCGAAUUGUGGAGAGGUGAGUGGAAUUCCGAGUGUAGAGGUGAAAUUCGUAGAUAUUCGGAAGAACACCAGUGGCGAAGGCGACUCACUGGACACAUAUUGACGCUGAGGUGCGAAAGCGUGGGGAGCAAACAGG